rnacentral:rRNA from 1 species
UACGGAGGGUGCAAGCGUUAUCCGGAUUCACUGGGUUUAAAGGGUGCGUAGGUGGGUCUGUAAGUCAGUGGUGAAAUCUCCGGGCUUAACCCGGAAACUGCCAUUGAUACUAUUUGUCUUGAAUACUGUGGAGGUCAGCGGAAUAUGUCAUGUAGCGGUGAAAUGCUUAGAUAUGACAUAGAACACCAAUUGCGAAGGCAGCUGGCUACACAAAUAUUGACACUGAGGCACGAAAGCGUGGGGAUCAAACAGG